AUGGAGAAACUAUGAACUGGAUGUAUGUGAACACAGCUUUGACUUAUCAAAAUCAGCUGGGUUGGUAAUAAGAUAUACUGACAUAAUUCAAGUCAACAUGGCAUUUCAAUAAUUGUCAAAGUAUAAGAAAUGAAGAUUAAAGUGGAUCAUAAUAUCAUGACAAAGGAAAACCAUUAAAAGGAUAUUUAAAAAAUGUUUAACUGUUCGGGUGACUAAUAGAGGGAUAUAUGGAAUAAGAAA
rnacentral:lncRNA from 13 species